rnacentral:rRNA from 1 species
CCUACGGUGAGCUGCAGUGGGGGCUAUUGCACAAUGGGGGAAACCCUGAUGCAGCGACGCCGCGUGGGCGACGACGUAUUUCGGUAUGUAAAGCCCUAUCAGCAGGGAAGACGAAAUGACGGUACCUGAGUCAGAAGCACCGGCUAAAUACGUGCCAGCAGCCGAUGUCAUACGUAUGGUGCAAGCGUUAUCCGGAUUUACUGGGUGUAACGGGAGCGCAGGCGGCACGGCAAGCCUGAUGUGAAAGCCCGCGGCCCAACCGCGGGACUGCAUUGGGAACUACCGGGCUGGAGUGCCGGAGAGGUAGGCGGAAUUCCGAGUGUAGCGGUGAAAUGCGUAGAUAUUAGGAGGAACACCAGUGGCGAAGGCGGCCUACUGGACGGUGACUGACGCUGAGGCUCGAAAGCGUGGGGAGCAAACAGGAUUAGAUACCCUUGUAGUC